rnacentral:rRNA from 1 species
GCACAAGCGGUGGAGCAUGUGGUUUAACUCGAAGCAACGCGCAGAACCUUACCAACCUUUGACAUGUCCGGUAUGGGGAGUGGAGACAUUCCUCUUCAGUUCGGCUGGCCGGAACACAGGUGCUGCAUGGCUGUCGUCAGCUCGUGUCGUGAGAUGUUGGGUUAAGUCCCGCAACGAGCGCAACCCUCGCCCCUAGUUGCCAUCAUUCAGUUGGGCACUCUAGGGGGACUGCCGGUGAUAAGCCGCGAGGAAGGUGGGGAUGACGUCAAGUCCUCAUGGCCCUUACAGGUUGGGCUAUACACGUGCUACAAUGGUCGGUACAGCGGGUCGCGAUCCCGCGAGGUGGAGCCAAUCCCAAAAAACUGUCCUCAGUUCGGAUUGUAGUCUGCAACUCGACUACAUGAAGCUGGAAUCGCUAGUAAUCGCGCAUCAGCAAUGGCGCGGUGAAUACGUUCCCGGGC